AGAGUUUGAUCCUGGCUCAGGAUGAACGCUGGCGGCGUGCCUAAUACAUGCAAGUCGAGCGAACGGACGAGAAGCUUGCUUCUCUGAUGUUAGCGGCGGACGGGUGAGUAACACGUGGAUAACCUACCUAUAAGACUGGGAUAACUUCGGGAAACCGGAGCUAAUACCGGAUAAUAUUUUGAACCGCAUGGUUCAAAAGUGAAAGACGGUCUUGCUGUCACUUAUAGAUGGAUCCGCGCUGCAUUAGCUAGUUGGUAAGGUAACGGCUUACCAAGGCAACGAUGCAUAGCCGACCUGAGAGGGUGAUCGGCCACACUGGAACUGAGACACGGUCCAGACUCCUACGGGAGGCAGCAGUAGGGAAUCUUCCGCAAUGGGCGAAAGCCUGACGGAGCAACGCCGCGUGAGUGAUGAAGGUCUUCGGAUCGUAAAACUCUGUUAUUAGGGAAGAACAUAUGUGUAAGUAACUGUGCACAUCUUGACGGUACCUAAUCAGAAAGCCACGGCUAACUACGUGCCAGCAGCCGCGGUAAUACGUAGGUGGCAAGCGUUAUCCGGAAUUAUUGGGCGUAAAGCGCGCGUAGGUGGUUUUUUAAGUCUGAUGUGAAAGCCCACGGCUCAACCGUGGAGGGUCAUUGGAAACUGGAAAACUUGAGUGCAGAAGAGGAAAGUGGAAUUCCAUGUGUAGCGGUGAAAUGCGCAGAGAUAUGGAGGAACACCAGUGGCGAAGGCGACUUUCUGGUCUGUAACUGACGCUGAUGUGCGAAAGCGUGGGGAUCAAACAGGAUUAGAUACCCUGGUAGUCCACGCCGUAAACGAUGAGUGCUAAGUGUUAGGGGGGUUCCGCCCCUUAGUGCUGCAGCUAACGCAUUAAGCACUCCGCCUGGGGAGUACGACCGCAAGGUUGAAACUCAAAGGAAUUGACGGGGACCCGCACAAGCGGUGGAGCAUGUGGUUUAAUUCGAAGCAACGCGAAGAACCUUACCAAAUCUUGACAUCCUUUGACAACUCUAGAGAUAGAGCCUUCCCCUUCGGGGGACAAAGUGACAGGUGGUGCAUGGUUGUCGUCAGCUCGUGUCGUGAGAUGUUGGGUUAAGUCCCGCAACGAGCGCAACCCUUAAGCUUAGUUGCCAUCAUUAAGUUGGGCACUCUAAGUUGACUGCCGGUGACAAACCGGAGGAAGGUGGGGAUGACGUCAAAUCAUCAUGCCCCUUAUGAUUUGGGCUACACACGUGCUACAAUGGACAAUACAAAGGGCAGCGAAACCGCGAGGUCAAGCAAAUCCCAUAAAGUUGUUCUCAGUUCGGAUUGUAGUCUGCAACUCGACUACAUGAAGCUGGAAUCGCUAGUAAUCGUAGAUCAGCAUGCUACGGUGAAUACGUUCCCGGGUCUUGUACACACCGCCCGUCACACCACGAGAGUUUGUAACACCCGAAGCCGGUGGAGUAACCUUUUAGGAGCUAGCCGUCGAAGGUGGGACAAAUGAUUGGGGUGAAGUCGUAACAAGGUAGCCGUAUCGGAAGGUGCGGCUGGAUCACCU
rnacentral:rRNA from 1 species